rnacentral:rRNA from 1 species
CCCUACGGGGCGCAGCAGGGUGACGUGAUUGUCGGGGGGCGCAACUUCGGCUGCGGUUCCUCCCGCGAACAUGCCCCGCUUGCCCUGAGGGGGGCCGGGGUGAAGGUUGUCGUGGCCGGUUCGUUUGCAAGGAUCUUCUUCCGGAACUCGAUCAACGUGGGAGUGCUCCCGGUGGUCUGCCCGGAUGCGGACAAGAUCGCCGAUGGCGCAAAAAUAACCCUCAAUACCAAAUGGGGUUAUCUCGAGGCGGACGGGAAGAGAUACGCAAUUGAGCCAGUCCCGGAGUUCAUGCAGGGCAUCAUCGAUGCCGGCGGGCUUGUGGAAUAUGCGAAAAAUCUGAAGGAGGUACCGGCAUGUAUAAGAUAGCGUCAAUUGGCGGGAGGGC